rnacentral:rRNA from 1 species
CCUACGGGAGGCAGCAGUAAGGAAUAUUGGUCAAUGGAGGCAACUCUGAACCAGCCAUGCCGCGUGAAGGAUGAAGGUCCUCUGGAUUGUAAACUUCUUUUAUCUAUGAAUAAAUCCCCGAUUUCUAUUGGGGUUGAAGGUAAUAGAUGAAUAAGCACCGGCUAACUCCGUGCCAGCAGCCGCGGUAAUACGGAGGGUGCAAGCGUUAUCCGGAUUCACUGGGUUUAAAGGGUGCGUAGGUGGAUUUGUAAGUCAGUGGUGAAAUCUCCGGGCUUAACCCGGAAACUGCCAUUGAUACUAUAAGUCUUGAAUUAUCUGGAGGUAAGCGGAAUAUGUUAUGUAGCGGUGAAAUGCUUAGAUAUGACAUAGAACACCAAUUGCGAAGGCAUCUUACUACGGAUAUAUUGACACUGAGGCACGAAAGCGUGGGGAUCAAACAGGAUUAGAUACCCUGGUAGUCCACGCCCUAAACGAUGGAUACUCGACAUCAGCGAUACACUGUUGGUGUCUGAGCGAAAGCAUUAAGUAUCCCACCUGGGAAGUACGAUCGCAAGAUUGAAACUCAAAGGAAUUGACGG